rnacentral:miRNA from 3 species
UCUUGCUUAAAUGAGUAUUCCA